ensembl:snoRNA SNORD15 Small nucleolar RNA SNORD15
CUUCGAUGAAGAGUUGAUGACGAGUCUGACUUGGGGGUGUUAUCUUUGUCCCCAAGAGCCUCCCUGUGCUACGUUCUGUGGCACAGUUGAAAGCACUGUGUUCAAAGAAACUUCCUAAAGAUGACCUAGAGGCAUUUGUCUGAGAAGG